rnacentral:lncRNA from 1 species
CUCAAUACUAUUAUUUUUAUUUUUAUAUUUAUUUAAUUUUCAAGUUCAAAUUUUUAUGUAUAUAUUUAUUUUUUUUGUUUUUUUUUCAGAUUUUGUACAGUACUUCCGCAAGUUCGAUUUAUUUCUUUUGAAUUUUUUAUAACUUUGCUAACAUCAGGAAAAAAAAGUCUUCAAAUAUUUGAUGGAAAAGUUUACGUUUGAAUUAUUUUGUUGAUUUCGUCAAUGCGAGUGAUUUUACCAAUUGGUCAUCGCAAAAUUAUUUAAAAAAUCUUUGUUGUCCAUAAAAACCGAAAGUUUCUGGUUUUGACUUAUUCUGGGAUAACGAUGGCGAUAAAUACGAAAAUUCAUGUAUGGAAAUUCAGAGGAGGGUCAGCAAUUAUCUCGGGACUUUCAAGUAGGUCGUUGAUUCGUGGGACGAAAAUUACGAGAGUACGUAAAUUAUUGAACAGUUUGCAACCAAAAUGUGGAGAGAAUGAGAGAACUGAACUGAAAAGUUAAUUAAUUAAAAGCUAAACUAAUAGGCAAGUUUAGAGAAAGAAUUUUUCAAAAGGUACCUCAACAAACAAGCUAUGAAAAAAAAAAAAAAAAAAUUAACAAAGUUAUAAUAUGAUAGUUACUAACUACUAAUUAGGUGAAGAAAAAAAAACCUUUGUUAUGUUGAAUCUUUUCACUAUGAUGACGUACAUCAUGUUUCGUGACAUUUGCAAUUUUCUUGAUCAUUUUCAUGAGAAAAUAAAGCAUAUAACAUAGUAAAUAUGAAAUAUUAUACUAAAAGAGAAGAAAAUUAAAAAACCUAAUGAGUGUACGUUCUGGUGUUUAAACGAUAGUAUAGAGAGUUUAAUGAGUAAGCUUCAGCAAUGGCUAACUCAAUAUUCUCCAACUAAUUUUCCUAUGAAUUAUUAAUUGUUCAUGUUUAACGACAAGCUGUCAUUUCAAAGUAAAAAUCACUAAUAAAAUUUAGUCAACAGCUUACUGUUUAUAGCAAGAUGAUUCAUAUGAUGACGAAAAAUUUUAAAUACUUUUGUAGUUGAGCUUCAAGUACUAAUGCUUUAUUUAAUUUAUUUUUUUAUAUUAAGAAAUAUAUUGUUUAUAUAGAUAAAUUGUUAAAGUAAGUAGUAUCUAUUUACGAUGAUUGUAAAAGAUGAUAGUUGCCAACAGAACAAACAAUAGACAAACUGUGAUAGUCAAUGAUCAACGAUGGAUGAACGACAAGUGUUGAUGAACACAAUGAUAUAUCUCAACAAAUAUGAACAAUUGAAUUUGCGAAUGUAUUGCGAUUUGUCAACGAUUACUUGAUGGAACAAGUAUUUUUAAAACAAGUUGCAUUUUAUAAAUGCUAUGAAUGAUACUUAAAUAUAUAGGUAGAUUAGGUAUAGUAUGUUUAAGUAAAUAAAAAGACAUUUGUAAUUUAUGUAAUAAAAAAUAUGUAUGCUUGGGUGCGGCAGUGAGUAUAACAACUGGUGGGAUGAUGUAGUUUUUAGACAACAUCACCUCAUCAAGGGAUAGCAUAUGCGAGUGAGAACGUCGGCCAUUAUUUGUUUUUUUUGAUGGUUUGGUAAGUUGUAAAUAUAUAUAUAUAAAUGUAUAAAAAAAAAACGAAGUCGUGAUGAGAUAGUAAGGCUGUUGGCCAACGUUGGAUGUUCAAUGAAGUAGAACAGAUCCCAGUUGGUCCCGCAGACGAUUGAUGGUAUUUUUAUGUUUUUCUUUUUUUUUUCUAAUAAUGGAUGGUGAAUUGAUUGAAGUCUUUGUUAG